rnacentral:rRNA from 1 species
UGAAGUUAGCGGCGGACGGGUGAGUAACACGUGGGUAACCUGCCCAUAAGACUGGGAUAACUCCGGGAAACCGGGGCUAAUACCGGAUAACAUUUUGAACCGCAUGGUUCGAAAUUGAAAGGCGGCUUCGGCUGUCACUUAUGGAUGGACCCGCGUCGCAUUAGCUAGUUGGUGAGGUAACGGCUCACCAAGGCAACGAUGCGUAGCCGACCUGAGAGGGUGAUCGGCCACACUGGGACUGAGACACGGCCCAGACUCCUACGGGAGGCAGCAGUAGGGAAUCUUCCGCAAUGGACGAAAGUCUGACGGAGCAACGCCGCGUGAGUGAUGAAGGCUUUCGGGUCGUAAAACUCUGUUGUUAGGGAAGAACAAGUGCUAGUUGAAUAAGCUGGGCACCUUGA